rnacentral:rRNA from 1 species
UACGGAAGGCAGCAGUGGGGAAUAUUGGACAAUGGGCGCAAGCCUGAUCCAGCCAUGCCGCGUGAGUGAUGAAGGCCCUAGGGUUGUAAAGCUCUUUUGUGCGGGAAGAUAAUGACGGUACCGCAAGAAUAAGCCCCGGCUAACUUCGUGCCAGCAGCCGCGGUAAUACGAAGGGGCUAGCGUUGCUCGGAAUCACUGGGCGUAAAGGGUGCGUAGGCGGGUCUUUAAGUCAGGGGUGAAAUCCUGGAGCUCAACUCCAGAACUGCCUUUGAUACUGAAGAUCUUGAGUUCGGGAGAGGUGAGUGGAACUGCGAGUGUAGAGGUGAAAUUCGUAGAUAUUCGCAAGAACACCAGUGGCGAAGGCGGCUCACUGGCCCGAUACUGACGCUGAGGCACGAAAGCGUGGGGAGCAAACAGGGAUUAGAUACC